GACGAACGCUGGCGGCGUGCCUAAUACGUGCAAGUAGAACGCUGAAGAGAGGAGCUUGCUCUUCUUGGAUGAGUUGCGAACGGGUGAGUAACGCGUAGGUAACCUGCCUUGUAGCGGGGGAUAACUAUUGGAAACGAUAGCUAAUACCGCAUAACAAUGGAUGACACAUGUCAUUUAUUUGAAAGGGGCAAUUGCUCCACUACAAGAUGGACCUGCGUUGUAUUAGCUAGUAGGUGAGGUAAUGGCUCACCUAGGCGACGAUACAUAGCCGACCUGAGAGGGUGAUCGGCCACACUGGGACUGAGACACGGCCCAGACUCCUACGGGAGGCAGCAGUAGGGAAUCUUCGGCAAUGGGGGCAACCCUGACCGAGCAACGCCGCGUGAGUGAAGAAGGUUGUCGGAUCGUAAAGCUCUGUUGUAAGUCAAGAACGGGUGUGAGAGUGGAAAGUUCACACUGUGACGGUAGCUUACCAGAAAGGGACGGCUAACUACGUG
rnacentral:rRNA from 1 species